UACAGAGGUCCCAAGCGUUGUUCGGAUUCAUUGGGCGUAAAGGGUGCGUAGGCGGCGCGGUAAGUCGGGUGUGAAAUCUCGGGGCUUAACCCCGAGCCUGCAGUGGAUACGGGCAGACUAGAGGUAGGUAGGGGAGAAUGGAAUUCCCGGUGUAGCGGUGAAAUGCGCAGAUAUCGGGAGGAACACCGGUGGCGAAGGCGGUUCUCUGGGCCUUACCUGACGCUGAGGAGCGAAAGCGUGGGGAGCGAACAGG
rnacentral:rRNA from 1 species